rnacentral:rRNA from 1 species
CCCUUAGAUGUUCUGGGCCGCACGCGCGCUACACUGAGCCCUUCAUCGAGUUUACAACCUUGGCCGGUAGGUCUGGGUAAUCUUCUCAAAGGGGCUCGUGCAGGGGAUAGAUUAUUGUAAUUUUUAAUCUUCAACGAGGAAUUCCUAGUAAACGCAAGUCAACAGCUUGCAUUGAUUACGUCCCUGCCCUUUGUACACACCGCCCGUCGCUACUACCGAUUGAAUGGCUUAGUGAGCCCGAGGGACUGUUGCACCUAGAGGGUUUUCUCUCCAGGAGCAGCCGGGAACUCGGUCAAACUUGAUCAUUUAGAGGAAGUAAAAGUCGUAACA